GGAAGUGGGAUGACGUCAAAUCAUCAUGCCCCUUAUGACCUGGGCUACACACGUGCUACAAUGGUUGGUACAACGAGUUGCGAGUCGGUGACGGCGAGCUAAUCUCUUAAAGCCAAUCUCAGUUCGGAUUGUAGGCUGCAACUCGCCUACAUGAAGUCGGAAUCGCUAGUAAUCGCGGAUCAGCACGCCGCGGUGGAAUAACGUUCCCGGGCCCGUU
rnacentral:rRNA from 1 species